rnacentral:rRNA from 1 species
UACGAAGGGGGCUAGCGUUGAUCGGAAUCACUGGGCGUAAAGGGUGCGUAGGCGGGCCUUUAAGUCUGGGGUGAAAUCCUGGAGCUCAACUCCAGAACUGCCUUUGAUACUGAAGAUCUUGAGUUCGGGAGAGGUGAGUGGAACUGCGAGUGUAGAGGUGAAAUUCGUAGAUAUUCGCAAGAACACCAGUGGCGAAGGCGGCUCACUGGCACGAUACUGACGCUGAGGCACGAAAGCCAGGGGAGCAAACGGG